ACGGGUGAGUAAUGCCUAGGAAUCUGCCUGGUAGUGGGGGGCAACGUUUCGAAAGGAACGCUAAUACCGCAUACGUCCUACGGGAGAGAGCAGGGGACCUUCGGGCCUUGCGCUAUCAGAUGAGCCUAGGUCGGAUUAGCUAGUUGGUGAGGUAAUGGCUCACCAAGGCGACGAUCCGUAACUGGUCUGAGAGGAUGAUCAGUCACACUGGAACUGAGACACGGUCCAGACUCCUACGGGAGGCAGCAGUGGGGAAUAUUGGACAAUGGGCGAAAGCCUGAUCCAGCCAUGCCGCGUGUGUGAAGAAGGUCUUCGGAUUGUAAAGCACUUUAAGUUGGGAGGAAGGGUUGUAGAUUAAUACUCUGCAAUUUUGACGUUACCGGCAGAAUAAGCACCGGCUAACUCUGUGCCAGCAGCCGCGGUAAUACAGAGGGUGCAAGCGUUAAUCGGAAUUACUGGGCGUAAAGCGCGCGUAGGUGGUUUGUUAAGUUGGAUGUGAAAUCCCCGGGCUCAACCUGGGAACUGCAUCCAAAACUGGCAAGCUAGAGUAUGGUAGAGGGUGGUGGAAUUUCCUGUGUAGCGGUG
rnacentral:rRNA from 1 species